rnacentral:tRNA from 1 species
CGGGGUGUAGCGUAGCCCGGUUAGCGCGCCUGCUUUGGGAGCAGGAGGUCGCAAGUUCGAAUCUUGCCACCCCGACAA